rnacentral:rRNA from 1 species
GCAUCUGUGCAUGCAGCAUAUCAAUAAGCGGAGGAAAAGAAACUAACAAGGAUUCCCCUAGUAACGGCGAGUGAAGCGGGAAGAGCUCAAAUUUGAAAUCUUAAAGGGUUUCCCUUUACGAAUUGUAGUUUAAAGAAGUGUUUUCUGUUGAGGUUUUGGUAAAAGUUCUUUGGAAUAGGACAUCAUAGAGGGUGAGAAUCCCGUAUUUGACCUUUACUUUCAACUUUGUGAUACACUUUCAAAGAGUCGGAUUGUUUGGGAAUGCAGUCCAAAAUGGGUGGUAAAUUUCAUCUAAAGCUAAAUAUUGGCGAGAGACCGAUAGCGAACAAGUACCGUGAGGGAAAGAUGAAAAGAACUUUGAAAAGAGAGUUAAACAGUACGUGAAAUUGUCAAAAGGGAAGCGUUUGACACCAGUGUUGUUUUUCUGAAAAUCAAUUAAAGAACUGUUUAUGCUAAGCUGUUUAGACUUUAUCAGCUAACUGUUUAGUUUUGAGCUUUUCUUUAAUGCACUUUUCAGUUAACAAGUCAACAUCAAUUUCUUUUGCUGUAAAAAAGCUUGAGGAAGGUGGCUUGAGAUUCGUCUUAAGUGUUUAUAGCCUCUUGCCUAUGCAGUCGGAGAGAUUGAGGUCUGCAGCGUAGAUCCUUCGGGGCUAAAUGCAUUUGUGCUAAGUUAUAGCAUUUUAUAGACAACUUGUUGACUAUGAUUUGUCUUGUAGCUUACUCGCUUAUGUUAUUUUACCUACGCUUAGGAUGUUGAAUCUGUGCGAGACUAC